UCAACAUUUUUCCGCCAAAAACGC
rnacentral:siRNA from 1 species